rnacentral:rRNA from 1 species
UACGUAGGGUGCGAGCGUUUGUCCGGAAUUAUUGGGCGUAAAGAGCUUGUAGGCGGUUUGUCGCGUCUGCUGUGAAAAUCCGGGGCUCAACCCCGGACUUGCAGUGGGUACGGGCAGACUAGAGUGUGGUAGGGGAGACUGGAAUUCCUGGUGUAGCGGUGGAAUGCGCAGAUAUCAGGAGGAACACCGAUGGCGAAGGCAGGUCUCUGGGCCACUACUGACGCUGAGAAGCGGAAAGCAUGGGGGAGCGAACAGG